CAUGUUUAAUGUUAGCAUGAAUCUGGUAUGUCUUCCUUGCCACAUCCUCUUUCUUUUCCCUUUCCUCCUUAGGCAGAAUUUCAGAAUUGGGAAAAUCAAAGAGGAGAUAAAUCACAGAAUGACCAUAUGACCAGGAUUUCCAGAUGCCUGAGGAAUUCGCUGUACCAGAAGAUUACUACAGUGUUUUCUGCAAAUCUAAAGCACUUCAAAUUACUUCACACAGUCCUGUUCUCCACUCCAAUGAAAUUAAGGUAACAUGAAGACUGAGAUAGCCUCAUACUAAAUAAGCAUUCUGUACCUGUAGUUCUUCACAACUAAAUGGCAAUUUCAUUUAAAAUUCAAGCUAAAGAAAAUUCAAAUCAAUGAUAUAUAAAAGAAAGAAGCAACAAGAAUAUACUUUGAAGUAAAUCUCUGUUGGUGCACACUUUAAAGAUACUUCUAGAAGCAUCAGCCACAGACAUCAGAUUCUCUCUUUUAGUUACUUUCAAGUACAAAUUAUUUGUAAUGUUAUAGAAAU
rnacentral:lncRNA from 1 species